UGACUAGAUUGUCAGCUCCUUGAAGGAAAGCACCAUGUCUUUCACAUAAAUUAGAAUUUGUUCUGACAUUAUAUUGCUUUUGUCUCCCUGUAAUGGUUACUGUCACUCUUUAAAUUUGGCUUUGCACAUCUGGCAGAAAUAAGUUUGUUUCCUUCUUGUCAUUACAGCUACAAUUUAAAUAUCUGUCACCAGGUAAAAAGUGGUCACUGAGAUAUGGCUAGGAGGUUCAAAAAGGGAAUUUGGAAAGGUGACAUUCAACACAGCCUGAUGAAAAGAAGCCUGGGCAUGAACAUCAUCACUGCCAACGUAAUAAAGGGAACCACAAGACUCUGAGAUGCCCACAUCCCUGUUCUAGCCAAAUGACCUGUGUGAACUGCAGGAAAAUCUCAACCAUUCUAUAACUGCUCUGUUGGAAAAGAAAGAAACGGGAGCUGUCCAUUCAGGCACUGAUCUGAAUGUGUUAAAGAAAAGCUGGCAAUAAAAAGUGGGAUUAUAGGAAGCA
rnacentral:lncRNA from 1 species